GUCGUUUGUAACAAGAGCAAGAGCCCAAUAUUCUUCUGAGGAAACCCAAAGCCAUCACUGAGCUUACCCAGGAGCCCUUCCUGGUGUCCCCGAACCUAGAGGUCCCUGGCCUGGGCUCUUCUCUGUCCACUUAGAGAUGGGAAAACACCAGUCUGCUGCUUCUCAGGGAAGAUAUCUCUUCCUACACUGAUUUGCCUAAAGCAACCUGUGCAGGACACUCAAGGAGCUGUCGGAUUCUGGAAAGCUCUGUCAGAACCAGAGGAAGUUCUCGGCCUCCCGGUCACCCCAGAGACAAGCCCCUGGCAUCUCCUGAGGAGACGUGAUCAGAGUUCUGGGGGCCGAAGUCUAGAACAGGACGGGGCUGCCUGUCUCCUGGAAGCGAGGGGAGGGGCUCUGGGCCGCUGGCAUCCUGGGCCCCUGGCCCUCCCUCCGGGAGCAACUCCUCAGGUCUCUGAUCCCUGCCUCCCUCCCCACUUUCUCCUGCUGGCCUUCCUGCCUCCCUCGGGGAAGGGCUGCGUUGAUAUGGGCCCCGAGGGGGUAAUGCGGAGUAAUUAUCUCAUCUCUCAACCCCCAUGUAAUCCUGCCUGCCAAGUCCCCUGCGCCCCUGAAGUAACUACGGUCCGCACAGUUCCCGGGACGGGAUGUGGCAUGUUUGGAGGACCCUGGUAGCCGGGAGGAUGUGGCCUCAUCUGUUCACCAGCACACCCCCUGGCACGGCACGGUGCCCUGCAUACAGGAGGCGCUCAAUAAUUGCUGGCCGAGUAACCGGAUGACAUGAGAGCCUAAAUCACGGCAUUGGACAUCUACAGCCCUGAGGGGACUGGAGGCAUGAGAACCCCCUCAGACGGGCCGAAUCAGAACCUGGCAGAUUUGGGGAAAGGCUGAAAACAUCUAUGUGGUGUGAUCAAAAGAUAUGGUGAAUAUGAAUAUAUAUUUUUCCUGAACAUUUAUUAUAGUAAAGACACAUUGUCAUGAAUCUCCCUCAAAAUACUCCCC
rnacentral:lncRNA from 1 species